UACGUAGGGGCUAGCGUUAUCCGGAUUUACUGGGCGUAAAGGGUGCGUAGGUGGUUUCUUAAGUCAGAGGUGAAAGGCUACGGCUCAACCGUAGUAAGCCUUUGAAACUGGGAAACUUGAGUGCAGGAGAGGAGAGUGGAAUUCCUAGUGUAGCGGUGAAAUGCGUAGAUAUUAGGAGGAACACCAGUUGCGAAGGCGGCUCUCUGGACUGUAACUGACGCUGAGGCACGAAAGCGUGGGGAGCAAACAGGAUUAGAUACCCCGGUAGUCCCUGAGCGGG
rnacentral:rRNA from 1 species